ACGAACGCUGGCGGCGUGCUUAACACAUGCAAGUCGAACGGAGAUAGGAAGAGCUUGCUCUUCCGAAUCUUAGUGGCGGACGGGUGAGUAACGCGUGAGCAACCUGCCUUUCAGGAGGGGGACAACGUUUGGAAACGAACGCUAAUACCGCAUAAGAUCGGUAGGGCCACAUGGUCCAGCGAACCAAAGGAGCAAUCCGCUAGAAAGAUGGGCUCGCGUCUGAUUAGAUAGUUGGUGGGGUAACGGCCUACCAAGUCGACGAUCAGUAGCCGGACUGAGAGGUUGAACGGCCACAGUUGGGACUGAGACACGGCCCAGACUCCGUACGGGAGGCAGCAGGUGGGGGAUAUUGCACAAUGGGGGAAACCCUGAUGCAGCAACGCCGCGUGAAGGAAGAAGGUCUUCGGAUUGUAAACUUCUGUCCUCAGGGAAGAUAAUGACGGUACCUGAGGAGGAAGCUCCGGCUAACUACGUGCCAGCAGCCGCGGUAA
rnacentral:rRNA from 1 species